UCAGCUCUGCAUAAUUAAGUUACACUUGGCUUCACCCAUGUGACUUCUGCAACAGGGAGAAAAGAUGUCCUUGGCACCUCAGAUUGACCUUAUGGUGAUCUCUCUCUUCUUGAGGGGCACAACAGAU
ensembl:snoRNA